rnacentral:rRNA from 1 species
AACGAACGCUGGCGGCAGGCUUAACACAUGCAAGUCGAACGCCCCGCAAGGGGAGUGGCAGACGGGUGAGUAACGCGUGGGAACGUACCUUUCAGUUCGGAAUAACUCAGGGAAACUUGUGCUAAUACCGGAUACGCCCGCAAGGGGAAAGAUUUAUCGCUGAAAGAUCGGCCCGCGUUGGAUUAGCUAGUUGGUGGGGUAAAGGCCUACCAAGGCCACGAUCGGUAGCUGGUCUGAGAGGAUGAUCAGCCACACUGGGACUGAGACACGGCCCAGACUCCUACGGGAGGCAGCAGUGGGGAAUAUUGGACAAUGGGCGCAAGCCUGAUCCAGCAAUGCCGCGUGUGUGAAGAAGGCCUGCGGGUUGUAAAGCACUUUCAGUGGGGAAGAACGGGUCCGGGCCAAUACCCGGAUCACUGACGUUACCCACAGAAGAAGCACCGGCUAACUCCGUG